rnacentral:rRNA from 1 species
AGCGAACGCUGGCGGCAGGCUUAACACAUGCAAGUCGAGCGGGCACCUUCGGGUGUCAGCGGCGGACGGGUGAGUAACGCGUGGGAACGUGCCUUCUGGUUCGGAAUAACCCUGGGAAACUAGGGCUAAUACCGGAUACGCCCUUUUGGGGAAAGGUUUACUGCCGGAAGAUCGGCCCGCGUCUGAUUAGCUAGUUGGUGGGGUAACGGCCUACCAAGGCGACGAUCAGUAGCUGGUCUGAGAGGAUGAUCAGCCACGCUGGGACUGAGACACGGCCCAGACUCCUACGGGAGGCAGCAGUGGGGAAUAUUGGACAAUGGGCGCAAGCCUGAUCCAGCCAUGCCGCGUGAGUGAUGAAGGCCUUAGGGUUGUAAAGCUCUUUUACCCGGGACGAUAAUGACGGUACCGGAGGAAUAAGCCCCGGCUAACUUCGUGCCAGCAGCCGCCGUAA